AUAUUUAAAUAGAUGUUUGAUUGCUCUAGUCUAUGGGUGUAUCAGUUGCAGCCUUGAGACUGGAAUUCUCUCCAUGCAACCCCCUAAUCCUUAUCUGAACGCUGUGACAACAAAGUCACUUUACUGCAGCGCACACAUUUCUUGUCUUAGUAAGAAACGCUGAAGAAACAAUAGCUUCCACAAUGGAUCCGGACAAAUCUAGCCCGCCCCCCUCCACCCUCCAGGAGUCCCCAGGUCGACCGCCUCCCGGUACUUUACUGCUGGGUCUGGUCAACUGCAGGAAAACACCGGGGCAGAGUGAAACUGAGAGAGGAAAAGGAGAAGAGGAACAUGGAGAUUUGAUUUCAUUAAGGGACAGCCCUAAUCGUUGCUCUCUCAGUGGGAGGGGCUU